CCAGCAACUUGGAGGAAUGUAUAGCGAAAGCUAAUUGUAUGAAAAUAUGCAAUAUCAAAUAGUUGAAUAAAAUUCUGGAUAAAAUUUGAUAAUGACAUUUUUUAUUCAUAUGUCUUGACCAAAAAACGUGCCAGCAGUCGCGGUAACACGUUUAAGACUAGUGUUAUUCAUCUUUAAUAGGUUUAAAGGGUACUUAGACGGUAGAUAAAGCCUUUAUGGUACUAAUCUGCUAGAGUUACUUGUGAGGAGGCCUAAAAGUACUAUUGGUUUAGAGAUAAAAUGCUACAAGACCACCUUUCAAAGGGAUAGUAAAUGGCACAGGUAAAGGCGAAAGCGUCCUCCUAUGUGAUAACUGACGUUGAAGGACGAAGGCUUUGAAUAGCGAAUAGGAUUAGAUACCCUAGUAGUCGAAGCAGAAAAUGAUGAGUGUCAUAAGCUAGACAUAUGUUUAGUUUAUAAAUGAAAGUGUAAGCACUCCACCUUAUGAGUAAAGUGGCAACGCCGGAAUUGAAAUCAUUAGACCGUUUCUGAAACCAGUAGUGAAGUAUGUUGUUUAAUUUGAUGACCCACAAAAAACCUUACCACAACUUGAAUAUUUAUUUUUUUUUUUAUUAUAAAAAAUAUCUACAAGCGUUGCACGGCUGUCUUCAGUUAAUGUCGUGAGAUUUGGUUAGAUCCAUUAAAUUAACGUAAACCCUUGCAUUAUUUAUAAAUAAUGCAGUUCAACCACCACAACGGAUAUGAUAACAGGGACUAAGACAAGUCAUCAUGGCCCGAAUGUUG
rnacentral:rRNA from 1 species